AGGACACACGCGCUUCAUGAGUGGACGUCUCCAUUUUGUCAGAGGUAAUGGAAGAUCCCUCAACUUAAAUUCACCUGAUCAGCAUGGGAUUGAAGUUGCAGGCUAUCAUAGCCAAGUCACCAAGCAAUCCUAGCAAUAACAUAACCAGAAAUCUGGUUAUUCAGUGCUUGAUGGUGUACCUUGGGGAGUCCAUUGAUCAACUGAUCAAAGAGUACAGUGAUGCUGAUGAGGAUGGUGUGUCACAAGAUCUUUUCUGAACAGAGGAUGAAAAUCUACAAAAUCAAGGCUGUUGGAUCUGAGGAGGAUGACAUUGGCAUUGUGCUGGAGGGUGUGAGAGUUAUGCCUGCUCUGGGCAAUUUUCCAAGAGCAUGCGCAAUGCUGGUUGGAUUGACAUAUGCAGUCGAUCUUGCCUAUCCCAAAGAGCUAAAAUACACCUUGGAAGUAUUCCAGAAACUUUUCCUUGAACUGGAUUGUGCUAAGCUCUCACCAAAAGUGAACAACCUCAAGAACAAGUUAUUGGCUUAAACGAGGACUCUGAAAGAAUGAAAGGGAAGUAAGCUCACUGAAAACCUUUGGUUUGUCUUUGUUAGAUGCAGCUAUCUUUUCAGUUUUUAAGUUAAUUUCAUCUUAUUCAUAUCUUACCCAAAUGACCUGCAAUGUGUCAGGCUGUAUUUGUGC
ensembl:lncRNA